rnacentral:misc_RNA from 1 species
GAGAGAGACACGUCGUGGUUUCAGGUUAUUUGGUUUUCAAUGAGCUUUUAAUGUAUUUUGGUUUUCAUUUCUUCAGAAUUUUUGCAGCUUACAUACAUCAGUGGAAGAUAUUUGGGGAUGUUUAUGUUGAUGAAAGUCAUCUGUAUGAUCAAUGAGCAUCUUGUGAGGAUUCAUUCAUCCCCUGGGAAUUUUUGCUGGGGAUUCGUUGUGGUUGCUAAUGUAGUUUACCUUCUGAUGCUCCUGUAGUCUGUAGUAUCUUUUUUUAUGUCCUGAUGCUGUAGACAUGUUAUUUAAUCUAUUCACUUAAAAUAUCCAUACCUCACUGUUAUACUAUAGGGUAACUUGUAAUUUCUAUUGUUUAUUCUUGGGAAGUCUUUAGCCGGGGAUUUUGAUUCUAUUGACCUUGUGACAUGUUCAUUUGGCUUUAUCCAUAAAACUGUGCCCAGACUUCUCCUUAGUUUUCACAGAAGGUUCUCAGGCUGCUAGUAUUAAACUUAAUCAAUGAUUGGUGACAUGGAGUAAUUGUGAAUAUAUUGGAAUUUGGUGUUUAUAGUUUCAUAUCAUCUCUGGGGUGGCAAGAUAGAUUAUUUCUGGUAACAUGCUGCUCUAACUUCUGACCGAGGGUAGGUCAUGUUGUUUGUGGUUGUCUAUCAUUUUGUAAAAAGUUAAGGAGAACUAACAGAUAGUCAUAAUUCAGUUUCCCCUUAAUCAUUUUUUGGAGAAAGGUUCUAAGUACUAUGCAAUAAUGAUGCUAUUUCGAUAAAUGUUAAGGCCUGUUAGAUCACAACCUUUGCUUAUUGUCCCGACUGUGAACUUGCUAUCUUCUAGUUGGCAGGGUAUACAUUCCUUUUUAAGAUUUGGAUAUCAUUGAAUAACUCGAUUGCAUUUUAUCUGAACUCUGAAGAUGUGUUCUUGCGUGUAUGCUUUGAAGAACACUUAAGUGCAUGUUUGUUUCUGUUGGAUGACUGGCCUUUCUUUUAACCAUGGUAGGAAGUAUGAACUCUUGAUUGUUUAAGAAUCAGUAGCAGUGAUUACUAGUUAAAUUUUAAAUAAUUUAAAGUACCCUUUUCAUUUUAGAGGUUUCUUGAUACUUAUAUUCUGCUUUUUGACUUUUUUGAUUGUUGCCAGCCAAAACAAUUUGUGCAAUAA